UUAGAACUUAUAACUAUAAUACUAGCCAUAAUUGAUCAUAACUAUAGCUGGUAACCAUAAAAGGUAGUAUUUGUGACCAACCAUAACUAAUCAUAGCUAACUAUAUGACUAUGAGUAUCAUGAAAUAUAACUACUACUUUAACAAAUUUGAAAACAAAUCUGAUGGUACAGAAACUGCCUACAUAAAGCAUUCUGGAAAUAUAUUUAGAUGCAUUUGGUGUUAGGAUAUGUAGGAAUCCUACAUAUGUAGGAAUGUGAGGAAGAAGGGAAUGUCGAGUGCUUUGGGAAAGCUGGACUGUCAAUAGUGUGUGUAGGUUCUGCUCUGAGGUGUAUGCUCUUUAUGAAAGGCUGCUAUUCUGGGGGCUACUCCUUGGGUAAAACAAAGGCAAAGUAGUCAACCUUUAGUCUAUGAUUAGUUCAAGGCUGGGAGUUUCAUUUACUGGGGCUGAAGCAGAGAGAAUGACUGUUAGUUCUAAGAAUAGGGCCUGGUGAAAUGACACAAAUAAAGGCUGACUGCUCAUGUAUGUAAGUUUAAUUAUUGUAAGAGAUGGGUUUGGGGAAGUAGUAAUAUCCAUUGAAAAGCAUUUAUCAAUCCAGGGAGGCAGAACAGGGCACAUAUGUAAUUGCGUGUUUUGUUGAAAGAGGUUUUUUUGUUCUAUUUUUAUUUUUAUUUUUUUAAGUAGCUAAUAAUGGAGAAAGAGAGUGAGAUAGGAGCAAAAAUUUGGUUCUAUAUGGGCAUUGCUUUACUCAGCUUAGAGCCACUUCAGAUUACAUGGCUCUUCUCUGUCCUGGGACUAGCUAUGCAUACAACAAAAAUGUCUUAUGGCAUUCUAAUUAUGUUGGAGCAGAGAUUAUCAAUGGAUCAUCUGUUGGCCUACUCUUCAACAGGUCCUCCUCUUCAAAGUGAAUUGGCUCCCAUUCAAGGCUGAAUAGCACUGGGCUGACAUUGUGUCUUGAAUGAUGUUUGUCCAUAAGAAGAAAAGUCUAUGGAAAGAAGACAAGUAUAAGUCCAACAAGUCAUCCUUGACCUGGUCCCAGGGGUUGAGGUAUUCAGAAUCUCUCCUCAGACAAGGGUCCUUGGGACAAUCUUUAUCAUGGGUCAUCAUUAUGAAAUCGGAAAAGGACCUCCUCCUCAGUCCUGCCUUUGUUUUCCAGAGAAUUGUUCUAUUUAGUUCCAGCUUCCCAGAAUCAGGAGGUCUUGUUUGGCCUCUGAUUGGUGAUGAUCUUUAGCUAAACCCUGGAUUCACUUUAGCUAAACACCUUUAGCUAAACAUGGGAUUCACUAAGUUACAAAAACACUGUUCUUACAGAUUGUUCAGUUUUCAUGGGAUAUUCUACAUCUAAAACUGUGCCUUUUAUAGGCUGAAUACCUGCUUCCUUCAUGUUUUCUUAUUAGAAGGCUAAAUUGUAUGCUUAUUUUUCUAACUGGAACCAUUGCAUCAGGGACAAGGUGGAGUAGUAGUAGCCACUUUGGUGGAGCUUUUGACAUGACCAAAAUUGUUCAUGUGAGGAGUGCCUUAGAAUAAAAGCAAAUAAACUCUCAUGAGGAGACUGUUGUGUCUGUCUGAAAGAGACAUCAUUUUGUUUAAUGUGACAGACUUACCCUUUUUUUCUGUACAUUAAAGAUUAAUAAGUGCCGGCUUUUUAAAUGUAUGACUUAAAAUUGUCAAGGGCCCAACUCAUGUCAAAACUGGCUGGAUGAUAUUCUCAUUUGUGUGUGUAUAUGUCAAAUCUCUUUUUCUACAUCUAAACUUUCUUUCCUCUCUUUGCAGAAAUAACAUAAUUGGCCUUUUACAAUGAUAAUUUCAUAUGUAUCUGAAGCUUCCUUCCUGUCAUAAUAAUUUCAUAUUUGUCUGGAGCUGGCUCUCUCAUUUUUUCUUUCCCCUCCCUUAUGAAACUUUAAAGAUUAUCUGAUCAAAAAAUGAUUCACUUGUUUUUGUGCACUCUAAGAAAAUGUAAUCUAGGUAAUCAAUAUUGUCUAAAAAAUGAAAACAAUAAAGCAAAUAUA
rnacentral:lncRNA from 10 species